GACGAACGCUGGCGGCGUGCCUAAUACAUGCAAGUCGAACGAGAGCGACCGGUUCUUGCACUGGUCACUCUAGUGGCGCACGGGUGAGUAACACGUGUGUAACCUGCUCAUCAUAGGGGUAUAACAUCCGGAAACGGAUGCUAACACCGCAUAGGUCUUCGAUCCGCAUGGCUUGAAGGGGAGAAGAGGCGCAAGCUGCUGCUGAUGGAUGUACUCGCGUUGCAUGUGCUAGUUGGUGAGGUAACGGCUCACCAAGGCCGUGAUGCAGAGACGAAGUGAGGGGGUGAUCGGCGACAUUGGAACGGAGACAGGGACAAAAGUCCUACGGUAGGCAGCAGUAGGGAAUGUUACGCAACGGAGGGAAGUAUGGCGGAGCAAGGCCGCGUGAGUGAAGAAGGUGUUCGGAUCGUAAAGCUCUGUUGUUAGAGAAGAACAAGUGCUAGCGUAACUGUUAGCGGCUUGACGGUAUCUAAUAAGAAAGCAACGGCUAACUACGUG
rnacentral:rRNA from 1 species